UGUUACAUACAGUACAGUCUCCUUAGCUCCCGAUCUGGAGGCGAAACGCAGAGUCCGAGUGAAAAACUGUGUGUCUUGUUCCGUCGUCUCUCUCCGAUCUGUUCAUCGAAUUUGGAUUUUUGUGAUUGUUUUCUCCUAUAAUUUCUGAAAAAUUCUGGUGGUUUUUGUUUCAAAACAACCGAUGCCCUUGGCUCUGGGGGUAAAAGACAUUCAAUGGCGUCUCAACUUCAAGGGUUCCUCUCGCGCUUCAGCAGAACCAGGUACCACACGCGCUACUUACCUUCUUCUGUUUCGUUGUUUCAAUUUUCAACUCUGCAAGUUACGUCAAACCCUUUGAUGGACGAACCAACGGACAAUCAGAUCAAAAGGCCAUCAAAUUUUAACGAACGCGAUGUCCUUUAUCAACUCUCUGGUCUGUUACCAAUAUGCUGUAACACUUCAAUUUCCAAACCAUUCACAGAGAAUUCACCCAAGGAACAAUUAAAAACUAGGGCAGUUGAUGGGUUUUUAUCACCCGGAGAGAAACUACGAGGGGUUUUUAUUCAGAGACUCAGGGGUAAAGCUGCAAUUGAGCUUGCCCUAACUAAUGUAGGAAUCGAUUUAACUAUUGAUAUUGUUUCAGAAGUAGUUAAUAGAGGGAAUUUAGGGGGUGAAGCAAUGGUUAUCUUUUUUAAUUGGGCGGUUAAACAGCCCACAAUACCUAAAGAUGUAGAUACUUACAAUGUAAUUAUUAAAGCCCUGGGGAGAAGAAAGUUCAUUGAAUUUAUAGUGGAGGUAUUGAAGGAUAUGCAUAUUCAAGGAAUAAGCCCUAAUUAUGAAACACUGUCUAUUGUGAUGGAUAGCUUUAUUAAGGCUCGCCAGGUCUCCAAAGCAAUUGAAAUGUUCAGAAAUUUAGAAGAGUUCGGAGGGAAAUGUGAUACAGAAUCUUUGAAUGUGCUUUUACAAUGUCUAUGUCAGCGAUCCCAUGUGGGUGCUGCAAAUUUGUUAUUUAAUGCAAUGAAGGGUGGGAUACCAUUUAAUUGUAUGACAUACAAUAUUAUUAUUGGUGGGUGGUCAAAAUAUGGAAAAAUUGGUGAAAUGGAGAGGUGUUUGAAAGCAAUGGUAGCAGACGGGUUUAGUCCCAAUUGUUUGACUUUCAGUCACCUUAUUGAAGGUUUGGGAAGAGCUGGUAGGAUUGAUGACGCAGUUGAGGUUUUUCAUCAUAUGGAAGAGAAAGGCUGUGUGCCCAAUGCUGGUGUUUACAAUGCAUUGAUUUCUAAUUUUAUUUCUACCAGAGAUUUUGAUGAAUGUUUGAAAUAUUAUAAUUUUAUGGUGAGUAGCAACUGUGACCCGAAUAUGGAUACUUAUACCAAAUUGAUCGUCGCUUUUCUUAAAGCCCGAAAAGUGGCAGAUGCACUUGAAAUGCUUGAUGAGAUGGUAGAUCGAGGAAUGAUUCCAACUACAGGUGCUAUAACCUCUUUUAUUGAACCUUUGUGUCAAUAUGGUCCACCCCAUGCUGCUAUGAUGAUUUAUAAGAAGGCAAGAAAAGUUGGAUGUAGAAUAUCUCUCAGUGCUUAUAAGCUAUUGCUCAUGCGACUUUCCAGAUUUGGCAAAUGUGGAAUGUUGUUGAAUUUGUGGGAUGAGAUGCAAGAAAGUGGUUAUUCUUCUGAUACAGAAGUUUAUGAGUAUGUCAUUAAUGGGCUCUGCAACAUAGGACAGCUUGACACUGCCGUACUUGUCAUGGAGGAGUCUUUGCGUAAGGGUUUUUGCCCAAGUAGGCUUAUUCGUAGCAAACUGAAUAACAAACUUCUGGCUUCAAAUAAAGUAGAGAUGGCUUACAAGCUUUUUUUGAAGAUCAAAGUUGCUCGUCAGAAUGACAAUGCACGAAGAUUUUGGCGUGGUAAUGGGUGGCAUUUUUGAACUUUCAUUUUUAUCGACCGAUGAGUGCAAUUAUUUCAUGUGCCCAACAGCUUCACCUUUCCAAAGAAGAUUCUCAAAGGGUUCUCAGAUUGGGCAAAUAUGAGGUCCAUGCAGAUGUAGACAGUGGGUUGUCUGCUUUAGUUUCACAAUGACCAAGAUUCAGAUUGUG